UGCGGCUGGAUCACCUCCUU
rnacentral:ncRNA from 3 species